CGGCAACCAGUUUACCUGCUUGGAUUAACGUGGCAGACUGCCGGCGGGCGAGGCGUCGGCGCCGCUGGUGUCGCAGCCAGCAGCACUGAAUGAAUUUAAACUUUGUCAAGCUAAAACAGCCAUUUGAGCAGUUCAGGUGUACAAACAGACUUCCAGGGUGUUUUCUUGUUGUUUUUUUUCUUCUUCUUCUUGUCUUCUGGUCCUACCUUCCUCUUCACUGACCCAUCUCACUCCCAUUUUUCUCUUUCUGUUUCCUCUUUGUGUCCUUAGUCAUUUCUAAUAAAGUUAUAGAUCUGGCCGUAAUGAAAGAACAACAAGGACACAGAAGGGAAGAUAUAAGAAGUUCUUGUAGGGCAUUCAGCAAAAAAGUUAAAGAUUUCAUUUACGUGUUGAACCAUAAAGGUAGACACAAUACACCUCAGGCUUUUCUUCGUAAAAAGAUUAGAAAACCAUGUAUGGUGCACAACGUUUUGUUGGUCUGUUGCAUAAAAUCCCAAUAAAAUAGAUCAAAUAAAUACUUUUGCACACCACUGUAGUUACCCACUCACCAUUAGCUGCGUGAGGAAGACCUUAGUCUUCCCGCAGUGCACCAACGACCUGCGUCCGUCACACGACACAUUAUGCUGGAGCGCCACCCGGAGGAGCUUCUCCACCUCCUGCUGCAGAACGUUGGUGCUUUCGGUGGCGUCGGGAUCUGAAACACAGGAAUGAGGAUGAAUAAAGGCUAGAUCAGCCUAACAACCCAACAGCAUCUGUGUCAGUGUGAGGAAUAUUGAGAGCUAAUGGAAAACAUUAAAGUGCUUCAAACUCAGA